ACAAUGGGCGCAAGCCUGAUGCAGCGACGCCGCGUGGGGAUGACGGCCUUCGGGUUGUAAACCUCUUUCACUCAUGACGAAGCGUAAGUGACGGUAAUGGGAGAAGAAGCACCGGCCAACUACGUGCCAGCAGCCGCGGUAAUACGUAGGGUGCGAGCGUUGUCCGGAAUUACUGGGCGUAAAGAGCUCGUAGGUGGUUUGUCGCGUUGUUCGUGAAAACUCACGGCUUAACUGUGGGCGUGCGGGCGAUACGGGCAGACUGGAGUACUGCAGGGGAGAUUGGAAUUCCUGGUGUAGCGGUGGAAUGCGCAGAUAUCAGGAGGAACACCGGUGGCGAAGGCGGGUCUCUGGGCAGUAACUGACGCUGAGGAGCGAAAGCGUGGGGAGCGAACAGGAUUAGAUACCCUGGUAGUCCACGCCGUAAACGGUGGGUACUAGGUGUGGGUUUCCUUCCUUGGGAUCCGUGCCGUAGCUAACGCAUUAAGUACCCCGCCUGGGGAGUACGGCCGCAAGGCUA
rnacentral:rRNA from 1 species